rnacentral:rRNA from 1 species
UACAGAGGUCCCAAGCGUUGUUCGGAUUCAUUGGGCGUAAAGCGUGCGUAGGCGGCUGCGCAAGUCGGGUGUGAAACCCCGGGGCUCAACCCCGGAACUGCAUCCGAUACUGCGUGGCUAGAGGUAGGUAGGGGAGAUCGGAAUUCCUGGUGUAGCGGUGGAAAUGACGCAGAUAUCAGGAGGAACACCGGUGGCGAAGGCGGAUCUCUGGGCCUUACCUGACGCUCAGGCGCGAAAGCUAGGGGAGCGAACUGG